AUUGAACGCUGGCGGCAGGCCUAACACAUGCAAGUCGAACGAGUGGCGGACGGGUGAGUAAUGUCUGGGAAACUGCCUGAUGGAGGGGGAUAACUACUGGAAACUGUAGCUAAUACCGCAUACCAUCAGAUGUGCCCAGAUGGGAUUAGCUUGUUGGUGGGGUAACGGCUCACCAAGGCGACGAUCCCUAGCUGGUCUGAGAGGAUGACCAGCAAAACUGGAACUGGGACAGGGGCCGGACUCCUAGGGGAGGAAGAGGUGGGAAAUAUUGGACAAGGGGCGAAAGCCUGAUGCAGCCAUGCCGGGUGUAUGAAGAGGGCCUUCGGGUUGUAAAGUACUUUCAGCGGGAAGGCUUUACCAGAAGAAGAAGCACCGGCUAACUCCGUGCAAGCGGCCGCGUAAUAC
rnacentral:rRNA from 1 species